rnacentral:pre_miRNA from 1 species
AGAGGAUACCCUUUGUAUGUUCACUUUAUUAAUGGCGAAUAUACAGAGGGAGACUCUUAU